UAACUUAAACACCUUGCCGCUAUUAAAUCUAAUCUUAUUGCCCUCAAAUCCUCUCUCUUAGACAAGACCCAACUCCGCAGACCCGAUGCCCUCUUAAAGAAAGUCACCAGUCUGCUCCAAAAGCUCGAAUCCAUUCAGGGCAGUGACUCGAUGAUUCGGGAAGGGAAAAGGGAAAUAAACAGUGAACUAAUUCAACUAUUGUAGUACAUUAAUGGCAUGACAGCGAAAAGGUAAGAGACUCCUUCCAAAUCAAUAAAAAAGGUUUUUGGGACUUCAUGAGCACGAAGAAAUCCUAGCAGCCUGCCAGAGUACAUCUGACGUUGCCUAUUUACGCAUGGAAGAGAGACUAGCCUACUCCAAUUUUGAACAGGGUGUAUGGUUGCUCUAUUGGUAGUGGCUUCUACUUUGCUGGCAGCAGUGGCCGUUCUACUUUGUGAUUUUGACCAUAUCAAUAAGUUUUGGUACUACACAGGGAAAGCCCAGUUUUGUUCCAUUUAAUGAGGAAUUGAUGAAAUUGGCUUGAGGUAUUUCGUAUGUCCUAUGCUUUCAGAAACAGGUAAAUGAGAUUUGAGACUCUUGUUUCAGUUUUAGAAAAUUUCUUACUUCAAUUUGUUGAUGGUGUGCUUCCCAUCGAUUUGGAUCUCACAGUUGUUCUUUGGUUGUUUCAUCAAUCAAAGACAUGUUAUCUCUAAAAAGAUUUUGUAAAAUAGUUUUUUCUAUAUGAGUCUGUUUUAAUUAAUUUAUUGAAAAGAUGAAUUCCAAUCUUUUCUAGAUGGGUUUCGUAAGGACCAUGCAAACACAGUUGGUUUUGAGAAAGGUGCAUUGGUGAUAUUGGAUGAUUCACGGUUCUCUAAGGACAUCUUUUUGCAUCGUCUGUGCAAGACAAUACCAAUCAUCUAUAUCCAGCAUGCACAUGUGGCAUACCUGAUGAGUGAACCUGUCUUGUGACGCCUGGUGAAUGGCCAGGAUCUCUUAUAUGUGUAUAGUGAAUCUCCUCUUUCAUAUGCUUAUCUUCAGCUGUAUAGAUGUGCAUACCAAUUUUAAUCAUUCGAAAAAUUAGAAUCAAAUAUGAAAUCAUACAAGUAGCGAGCCAAUCAUGUUUUAUGCAUAAAUUACUGUAGCUAAGCUUGCAUUUGGCUGCACCAAAUAUCAUGAAAUUUCAUGAUAUUUUUCAUCUAAUUAGACUGAUUAACCCUGAAAUUUCAUGAUAUUUAGUGCGACCAAAAGCACCCUACACUGGAAAUAUUGAAAAUGGUUCAAAAGAUGGCGGAUAAGAUUCAUUGACUUGGUUAAGUGCUUUAAAGCUUGCCUAGUUAUCAAAACAGCUAUUUUUCUUUUCUAAUGCACAAUUAGAUUUCAUUUAAUUUCAGGAGUUCUUUUCAUUGGUCCUAGAAGCCCAUGUCAUGGACCAUGAUCUUUUGUCCUGGGUGUGUAUACUGAUGCCCUCUCUCGCUCUGUGUUUCGUCUUCUUGUUUUCGAGUGUCUUAAUGGCUAGGAUUGAUUUUUAUGGACACUAUGUAAGUGAACCUUGCAAGGGGCUCAUGGCUUCUACAUGCCAAUCUGCCACACAUUUGUGAGAUCCAAGCUGCUCAACAAGAGGGUCCCAUUGUCUAAAUGCGGUGGCUUAAAAGCCUUUCUGUUUUAGAAAGACAACUAAUUCGCAAAAACAUGCUAAAGACUGCAAAGGAAGGCAUAAAAUAGCAAGACAACAACUCGGAAAUCUAUGGCAAGAUGCAAGCAGUGUUCAUAGAAAUGGACAAAAGCCUCGCUGUUUGUGAAGCUUGGGAGGCGGCAUCAGAAAGUGGUAGACCAGAUGUUGAGUUGAUUCUUGGUGAUAUGACUCUUCUAACUCCAGAUGACAUGUUUGAUUUGUUGUUAGGGUCUUCUAGCCACUUCUAAUUCAUCUCCAUUUAACAUUUUUGAAAAGAAGGAAACCAAAGAGGAAAAAAAGAGAAGAAAAUAUAAUAUAUAUCGGCAUGUUGAUAUCAUGCAAAAUUUCAUGGGGACUAAUUGAGGCGACAAGAAAGCCUGCCAAUUCUAAAUCCAAAAUGGUUGAAAUGCUUGCAAGUAUCCUCACUGUUGGGUUUCCUCUGUGAACACGUGGGGU